AACGAACGCUGGCGGCAGGCUUAACACAUGCAAGUCGAGCGCCCCGCAAGGGGAGCGGCAGACGGGAGAGUAACGCGUGGGAAUCUACCCAUCUCUACGGAAUAACGCAUGGAAACGUGUGCUAAUACCGUAUACGUCAUUCGGAAGAAAGAUUUAUCGGAGAUGGAUGAGCCCGCGUUGGAUUAGCUAGUUGGUUGGGUAAAGGCCUACCAAGGCGACGAUCCAUCGCUGGUCUGAGAGGAUGAUCAGCCACACUGGGACGGAGACACGGCCCAGACUCCUACGAGAGGCAGCAGGGGGGAAUAUUUGACAAUGGGCGAAAGCCUGAUCCAGCCAUGCCGCGUUAGUGAUUAAGGCCCUAGGGGUGUAAAGCUCUUUCACCGGUGAAGAUAAUGACGGUAACCGGAGAAGAAGCCCCGGCUAACUUCGUGCCAGCCGCCGCGGUAACAC
rnacentral:rRNA from 1 species